GCGGUUCCGGUUCCCGUCGAUGCCUCAUAAGAGGAAGUUGGCGACCCGGCGGCC
rnacentral:ncRNA from 1 species